AUGUGCAAGAGAUAGAGAGGCAGCAAAAUUAGGGCACGAUCCAUUUUCCCCCUUCUUGAUUUCUUGUUGGAAAACCAUCAAAGGUGAAACUCAUUUAGCUAUUUCUACAGUCGAUCGAAGCUAGACAUGUCUGGCAGAAAAGAAACUGUUCUGGAUUUAGCAAAAUUCGUGGACAAAGGUGUUCAAGUCAAACUGACUGGUGGAAGACAAGGUUCGCCGUUGUUCGUUUAUUGAUAGAUUUUUCGGCAAUUUCAUAUCUAUUUCUUUUUUAUAGUUUGUGGGUUUCUCUUUACUUGGUCCGAUUUCGUGUUUAUCGCUUUAUAAUUUUGUUCGUUUAUAUUUUGUGAUCUAUUUUUGUGUUGCCCUCAUUUAGCUAAUGAUACUACGGAGAAAUGGGAAGUGGUGGAUAUGAUAUUUUUAUGUUGAAAAUUAUUGUAGUGCCGU